GGAUAUUUAUCUUUGAUGGCCGUAUAGAACUUGAGGUAAUUUCCACGGUAUUGUGUUUUUCCACAAUCCUCAUUUCCGAUAGCCACAUAUCUCAAAUCAAAAGGCUCUGGAUGUCCCAUUUUGGCUCGAAUAGAACCCCAUGUUGAAGUAGGAUCACCUCUUGCAAACUCAAGACCAUCUAAUAUCUCUUGCACAAAAGGUAAAAUACUGGAAGUGUCAACUUGAUCAUGGUGACUGACUCCAUUGUUGAAAACCCACACGGGCAGUGAAUCUAAGUCUUCGGCAAGCUGCAGGAACUCAAAAUGUCCAAGUCCAUCAUCAGUCCAGUAAUUCCAAACAUCACCGAAAUGUCCGGGCCUCUCUUCCCAUUGUCCAAUAGUUUCUUUCCACCGAAAUGCAUUUCUUAACCAGUCACCUUCAACAAAACAUCCACCUGGAAAUCUAAUGAAUGCUGGCUUUAAAUCCUUAAGCAUUCCAAAGAGAUCUUUCCUGAAGCCAUGCCCCUUGUAUGUGUCAGUAGGCAUUAAUGAGACUUGAUCAAACCAAAUAACACCUUUCUUAGAUGAUCUCAAUUCCAGUCUUGAAUUGGGAUCUGUUCCUGUUGCUUCUAACAAAAUUUCCACCUUCGUCCAACUUGAAACAUCAGCAGCUACAAUGUUGGCAGCAGCCAGCUUUUGCAAUCCAUUUGAACCAGUUAAAGCGACAGAUACAUUGACUGAUUCUUCGGAACGAACAUAAAGCACUAGUUUGUAACUCUUUCCCUGCUCAAUAUUCAUGCCCCAGAAUCCCGGGUUGUAGAUGCCAACUCCUCCAUCUGGACAGAUAUUG
rnacentral:misc_RNA from 1 species